AAAUUGAAGAGUUUGAUCAUGGCUCAGAUUGAACGCUGGCGGCAGGCCUAACACAUGCAAGUCGAACGGUAACAGGAAGAAGCUUGCUUUUUUGCUGACGAGUGGCGGACGGGUGAGUAAUGUCUGGGAAACUGCCUGAUGGAGGGGGAUAACUACUGGAAACGGUAGCU
rnacentral:rRNA from 1 species